rnacentral:rRNA from 1 species
CAGUGCCGCGGUAAUACGAGGGGGGCAAGCGUUGUUCGGAAUUAUUGGGCGUAAAGGGUGCGUAGGCGGCUUGACAAGUCUUGUGUGAAAUCUAUGGGCUCAACCCAUAGUCUGCACGGGAAACUGUCGGGCUUGAGAAUGGGAGAGGUGAGUGGAAUUUCCGGUGUAGCGGUGAAAUGCGUAGAUAUCGGAAGGAACACCUGUGGCGAAAGCGGCUCACUGGACCAUUUCUGACGCUGAUGCACGAAAGCUAGGGGAGCAAACAGGAUUAGAUACCCCAGUAGUCCCUGUCUCUUAUACA